UGCUCAUGAUAAACUGGCACUCUGCUAUGCCCUUUCUCCAAGACCAAAUUCAUCAAAUCCCUGUACAUAAGCAGUAUGUAGUGCAGAUAAUAAGGAUGAAUUUAUGCAACAGAAGUAAGUUCCUUUGCAGUUUAAGCUCUUCAGAAACAUCUUACUUGUCAAGUUUGGCAUUUAUAUCAAUCGCAAAAGUUUCAGAUAUAGGAGUCAUGGCAUCACCAGCUGUUUUCUCACUGAGCUCUAGUGCUCCUGCUAUAAUCGUUGUCUCAUCAUGAGUCAGUUCUCCACCUUUUCCUGCCUCAUUACCAUGAAAGUUUACUAGUGUUUUCAACUCAGCUCUGCGAAACAGUGCUACAUGUCCAUGACCCAGCAGAAAGUCCAGAAGCUUGCUUAUAGGAUAAGCAACAGGGAAGCAGAUCCACACAAGAACACGAACAAUUGGAGCCACUGUUGCACCAAUUGCCAAACCAUAACGAGAACAGACAGAUUGUGGUAUAAUCUCACCAAAUAGGAGAAUCAAGGUAACUGAAAUUAGAAUAGCACCCCAAGCUGUAACCAGACUAUCGAGAAAAAUAGGAAGGGCCUCCAUGGCAGCAGCAUUGCAAAUGAGCAGCGUGCAGAGCAAUAAAUGUUGAUUUUUGACAACCGGCAAUAUCUUUGCUGUUAUCACAAGGGACAAAUAAUAAUUGUGCAUUGCAUAUGAUCAAAGUAAUAUAACUUUCUAAAAUAGCACAUAUGGAGCUGUCAUUUUCCAGAGAGGUGCAGCACAAUUUGUAACAUUGUACAUUAUUGGAAUUUAGAUCUCCAACAAUCAUCAUCAUGCAAACUUGACUAUUACACAUGAAAAAUAUAAAUCCUGAAAUAGUCUUCAUAUAGCAACUUUUUUUUUCUUUAUAUUUAUCAAGGGUAUCCAGCUAAAACAAAUUAAAAGCUAUCAAUAGAACUUCUCUUCCUCAGAUGCAUCAUCAAUAAUGAGCAGUAAGUUUAGUGCUUCUUGAUGCAGCAAUCCUCAGACCGUCAACCUCAUAACUUUUGCAUUAAUUACAAAGCCUAAAAAGAUAAUUCAACUAGCUUAAUUACAUACCCUAGAACAUGAACUGCCUAAACUCACUAAUGCUGUAUUGGAAGAGAAGUGUACUUAGAAAUUUUAUUUACAUCAACCAUGAACAUAGUAUUUAUGGUCAUUGGGCUAUCAAAACCCAAGCUAGAGGUAACUCCAUUAAUUUUUUGACAGAUGGGUUCUAUUCAGUCACAUCAAGCUACAAAAACCCACACUAGAGUAUCCUAAAAUUAUAAGCAUUCACAAGUGACUGUGAUAGUGAUUCUUGAAAUAUUGUUAAAUCAUCAUGCUAUAGAUUUAAGUUGCCUUGUGACUAUGACAUGAAUUUCCAUCACAAAGUCUUCAACAAAUUUCCAAAAUUACACAAUUUCAAGUGAGGACAUUCAUUACAGAGUUUCCAAGGCCGUACAGCUAAUAAAAGAUUAAUGUCUGAUUUGAGUAAAUGAUAACCGGCAGGACCAACUGUGAAAUUGAUCAGUGGAGAAACAAAUGCACAAGACAAACUAAUAGAUACCAACAAGGUCGCAAGUAAACGUCAGAAAUUAACUUCUUAUGGAAAGUUUUGGCGUCAAAUUGCUGCAAAACAGCUCCAAGAAUUUUGCACAGGCAGUUGAAGAAGCAUCAAGAUCAAGUCACCAAGAUAUAAAAAAUUAUCACCCCAAAAACUAUUACAAGCAUAGAUCAACCUUCUUACUAUCACUUUCUUUAUACUUAAUUUUCUGAUCAAUCAAAUCCUUUCUUUUUUUUCCUGACUAUAAAAUCCAUCCUUUAGUCUUUGAUUGCUGCCCAUUCAUCUCUUUUUUGAUGAUUUUUUCAAAAGAAAACUUCGUCGAUCUUGAAUUUAAUGAUCUAUGAAUGAGUGAAGCACGCUUCGCUUUAAGCAACAUUUCGCAUCACCCGGCCCCACACGAAUCAAACUCCACCACCCCAAAUCAAUCUCCAAAUCUCCUUAGUUAUUUUCUGCGUGUUUGCGAUCUUUCGGGGUCCCGGACUGGGCAAGAACUUCAAGAUCGACGAUACUCAUAGACAUAAGUCCAAGAGUAAGCCCAGACAUCGAUCCAGCGAAAAUCACCAGCAAUACAAUUAUCAGAAUUUGUAUAAAGAAAUCCGUUUCACAGCACUUAUACUCCACUGCCAUUCAAUUUUUCUUCUCCAAAUCA
rnacentral:misc_RNA from 1 species